rnacentral:rRNA from 1 species
GACGAACGCUGGCGGCGUGCUUAACACAUGCAAGUCGAACGAUGAAGCGGGUGCUUGCACUCGUGGAUUAGUGGCGAACGGGCGAGUAACACGUGAGUAACCUGUCCUUUUCUUUGGGAUAACGGCUGGAAACGGCUGCUAAUACUGGAUAUUCAGUCUGCAUCGCAUGGUGUGGUGUGGUAAGGUUUUUUCUGGGUUUGGGUGGGCUCGCGGCCUAUCAGCGUGUUGGUGGGGUGAUGGCUUAUCAAGGCUUUGACGGGUAGCAGGCCUGGGAGGGUGGUCGGUCGGACUGGGAGUGAGAUAAGGCUCAGACUGCGACGGGACGCAGAAGUGGAGAAUAUGGCACAAUGGAGGAAAGUUUGAUGCAGCGGCGCCGCGUGGAGGGUGUAGGCGUGCGGGUUGUGAACUCCUUUGGGUUGCGAAAAAGGCACAGUUUUGGCUGUGUUGAUGGUAGUGGGAGAAGAAGCGCCGGCUAACUACGUG